rnacentral:rRNA from 1 species
UACGAAGGGGGCUAGCGUUGCUCGGAAUCACUGGGCGUAAAGCGCACGUAGGCGGAUUGCUAAGUCAGGGGUGAAAUCCUGGAGCUCAACUCCAGAACUGCCUUUGAUACUGGCGACCUUGAGUCCGGGAGAGGUGAGUGGAACUGCGAGUGUAGAGGUGAAAUUCGUAGAUAUUCGCAAGAACACCAGUGGCGAAGGCGGCUUCCUGGCCUGUUCUUGACGCUGAGGCGCGAAAGCUAGGGGAGCAAACGGG